rnacentral:misc_RNA from 1 species
ACUACAUCCCGUGUGUCGUAUCUGGUUAGGCACACUUAACCUUGUACAACUCACAAACUACGUUCCCUUGAUGUUCUCCUUUGUGAGUCGUCUUGGGCAACAUUCAUUCACACACAUUGAUUGACAACACCUAUUGAUUUAAUAUUCAAUGGUAAA